rnacentral:rRNA from 1 species
UGAGGAAUAUUGGUCAAUGGGCGAGAGCAUGAACCAGCCAAGUAGCGUGCAGGAUGACGGCCCUAUGGGUUGUAAACUGCUUUUAUAUGGGAAUAAAGUGAGGGACGUGUCCCUUAUUGCAUGUACCAUAUGAAUAAGGACCGGCUAAUUCCGUGCCAGCAGCCGCGGUAAUACGGAAGGUCCAGGCGUUAUCCGGAUUUAUUGGGUUUAAAGGGAGCGUAGGCUGUUUGUUAAGCGUGUUGUGAAAUGUAAGAGCUCAACUUUUAGAUUGCAGCGCGAACUGGCAGACUUGAGUGCGCACAACGUAGGCGGAAUUCAUGGUGUAGCGGUGAAAUGCUUAGAUAUCAUGACGAACUCCGAUUGCGAAGGCAGCUUACGGGAGCGCAACUGACGCUAAAGCUCGAAGGUGCGGGUAUCGAACAGG